GGACUUGCUCAGAGUGGUAGAGCUUUGCAUGCAGAAGGUCCCAGGUUCAAUCCCUGGCAUCUCCA